rnacentral:lncRNA from 1 species
ACUCAGAGCUGCAGAACCUAGCCCCGAUGGAUACAUCUUUUAUCUUUAAACAAGAAAAAGGGACACCAUUUUCAAGUGUAAAGAUGAGGAUGAAGAAAGGCUUAAUGGAGGAGUUAAUAGUAGAAGUAGGUCUUGUAAAUUGAAGAACACACACACUCUAUCAGAGAAGGAAUAGAAAGGGACAAGACUGAAGAACUGCUCAAGCAGAGGGCUCCAGGGACUUGGAACAGAGGUUAAUUAUCCACAUUAAUACAUAGAGAUGUUGUUGGCAUGAGACUUUCUCAAGUCUCAAGCAUUGGGUUAUCCGGAGCUUGCUGUACUGCUUCCCCGACUUUAUUUUCUCCUCUGUUGCAGGAGCACCAAUACCAAUGUCUCAUUUUCUUCCUUUUGCUGAAGGUGUGACUCAGAUCAUGCACUUUCUGACUCCAAAGGCCCUUUCUUGCCAAAUUCACCAUCAUGGAAGGAUACUGUCAAUUAAGAGUCCUAUAAUGGUACAGAACAUUGAGAAAUCAGGCUGGAUCUGAGCUAGAAGUCUCCUCCCUGAUGGCUGGCUUUCAUGAUGCCAGUAGGUGAUAAGCAAAGUGCUGGGGAAGAAAGGCUCAUGAAUGAUCCUAUCCAGGUUGGGGCUUCAGCAUGACAAUAAUGGCAUGUCUGGAAAGGCAAACUGUGAAAUAGUGGAGGAAAAGCCUCAAUCGGCAGAAGAGAGAAGGGAUUGCAGGACUGGAAACUACAUCUCCUGCACAACUGAAGCGAGGAGCUGUAUCUCUGUACUUCUCUCCCUCCCCUCCCUUUCUCUCUCUCAGCUUCUUUUGGAAAAGGCCAUUUAACCCCCCUUCCUAGUGGAAUGUUUCCUGUGGGUCUCAGGGCAGCUCCUUUUGU